AAUAAUGAAGACGUGUUGUUAGUUUCCGAAGCUCGCAGAUUGUUCAAAGAUGCAAAUCUCUGAUUUUAAUUAAAGAAAAAAAAAAGGUGCUUCAGAUGAUGAUGAUGAUGAUGAUGAUGAUGAUGAUGAUGAUGGUGAUGAUGAUGAUGCACUGAAAUCUAGCUGAAUGUGUUGAAUGCUUCCUCUGAGGGAAUCUGAUUAUUUUGGUAUUUAAAAACAAUAAAUUGUCUCAGAAAAUCCAACAGAGAGAAAAAA